rnacentral:rRNA from 1 species
UACGGAGGGGGCGAGUCGUUGUUCGGAAUUACUGGGCGUAAAGGGCGCGCAGGCGGCUUGGCAAGUCGAGUGUGAAAUCCCUUGGCUUAACUAAGGAAUGGCGCUCGAAACUACCUCGCUAGAGGACGGGAGAGGGAAGUGGAACUCUCGGUGUAGGGGUGAAUCUGUAGAUAUCGAGAGGAACACCGGUGGCGAAGGCGGCUUCCUGGCCCGUAGCUGACGCUGAGGCGCGAAAGCGUG